UGUUGCCAGAGGAACUGGAGGAAAUUGUGGUCCUGAAGACUGAGAUACUUGGACUGAUUUAUAUUUUAUUUUCUUAAAAAGCUCUUUCUAACCCAAGGAGACAUAUAGAGUUCUUGGGCAAGCCCUCCCCAAAUGACCGAAAUGGCCCUCCUGCUACUCCAGGACUACAUUUUACCAGCAUAGUGACAAAGUAAAAAGCAAAUGAUUAGUUCAAGCCAGUGAUGUGAAGUUGUAGACACAGGGUCUCUCUGUGUUGACCAAGCUGAUCUCAAACUCCUGGCCUCAAGCCAUCCUCCCACCUCAGCCUCCCAAAGUGCCGGGAUUGAAGGUACAAGCCCAUCAUGCCCUGCCUUCAGCUCUAUUACUUUGGAAAGAUCAUUUAGCCGGUCUAAAUCCCAAUAUUUUGGUGUUAAAAUGCUAACAACUAUACGGUUGUUAUGAGCACAAUGGCUGGUACAUACUGUAUUCUCAAUAAAUAUUUGUUAAAUGAGUAAAUGAUGUUUGUGAAAUUACUUUGCAAGCUGUGCAGAUAAUCAUACACUCAUGCACUUAACACCACUUGACCCAAUAACAUAUAUUACUGAUUUAUUUUGUGUAUAUUCUACCUUCCCCAACUAAAUGCAAGCUCCAUUAGGGAAGGAUUUUUUUGUCUUUUCUGUUUCAGGUCGUAUCUCCAGAAACUAGAACCGCUCCUUGCACAUACGAGGCACUUAACGAAUAUUUGUUAAAUAACUUUUUGUGUAAGUGCUUGUCACAUGCUAAGCCCUUAAUCAAUGAUAUCCAGUAUUGUUAUUCACCUGUAA
rnacentral:lncRNA from 10 species